rnacentral:rRNA from 1 species
CCUACGGGAGGCAGCAGUGAGGAAUAUUGGUCAAUGGCCGGGAGGCUGAACCAGCCAAGUCGCGUGAGGGAAGACGGCCCUACGGGUUGUAAACCUCUUUUGUCAGGGAGCAAGUUGCAGGUCGGGACCAGCUGGGAGAGUACCUGAACAAAAAGCAUCCGCUAACUCCGUGCCAGCAGCCGCGGUAAUCCGGGGGAUGCGAGCGUUAUCCGGAUUUAUUGGGUUUAAAGGGUGCGCAGGCGGAGGCACAAGGCAGCGGUAAAAUCGCGGGGCUCAACUCAGCUUCGCCGUUGAAACUGUGUCUCUUGAGUGCGCGAAGGGUAGGCGGAAUGCGUGGUGUAGCGGUGAAAUGCAUAGAUAUCACGCAGAAAUCCGAUCGCGAAGGCAGCCUACCGGCGCGCAACUGACGCUCAUGCACGAAAGCGUGGGUAUCGAACAGGAUUAGAUACCCGAGUAGUC